AUUGAACGCUAGCGGGAUGCUUUACACAUGCAAGUCGAACGAGUGGCGGACGGGUGAGUAAUAUAUCGGAAGUGCCCAGUAGCGGGGGAUAACUACUGGAAACGGUAGCUAAUACCGCAUACUAUCGGAUAACCCAUAUGGGAUUAGUUAGUAGGUGAGGUAAUGGCUCACCUAGGCGACGAUCCCUAGCUGGUCUGAGAGGAUGAUAAGCCGCACGUGGACUGGGACACGGCCACGACUCCUACGGAGGCAGCAGUGGGGGAUAUUGGCCAAUGGGCGCAAGCAUGAUGCAGCCAGGCCGCGUGUAUGAAGAAGGCCCUAGGGUUGUAAAGUACUUUCAGUCGGGAGGCGUUACCGACAGAAGAAGCACCGGCUAACUCCGUGCCAGCAGCCGCGGUAAUUC
rnacentral:rRNA from 1 species